GUCAUGCGAUGUUGCGCCUCUGGGUUUAGAAUUCCAGCCAAUCCCCUUUGUAGGCCUGUUAAUCUCUCAACCUUCACCAAUCAAACUCAGUAGGGGCACGGUCAAUGAGGUAUGAGAUUUUUAGCAGUACAGUGGGAUAAUAUUUAUAUACCAAGACAAACCCCUCACAUCCACCAUGUCCCUACUGUCCGCUUGCAGGUAUUCCCCGAAGCUCUUUGCAUUCAACAAAGGUAAAUCCGUUAUUUAAAGGAGAUAAAAUAUAUUAUUAUUUAUUAUUAACAAUAAAUCAAUACAUAAAGCACAUGAGGGAACAUAAACUUAGAUUACAAACAAUAGACAAUCGAGCUAGAGGGUACAAUAUCAUAUUACAAUUACACAAGGACAUACAUAAGUACAAUUCUAACAACUUUUUUGUUAGUAGAGCAUUUAACCGUUUUAAAAUAAGGUUCAAUUUAUUUUUGUAGGGUACGAAAAUGUGUUUUUCUGUUUGUAAAUUUACAUUUGAGUAUAUGAAAUUUGGCCAAAAGAAUAAUGAAAUUAAUCAAAUGUUUCAGCUUAUUUCUAUUGUAUGUAAAGAAUUCAAACAGUACAUCUCUCCACAAUAGUGUAAAAUCUUCAUAAAUGUGUUCAAUUAUAAACCUACUGAUGUCUUGCCAGUUUUCUUACAUGCAUACAAUGCCAAAAAAAGAUGCAACUUGGAGACGCUAUCUACUUGAGGGCGCUGCAUUGUCCCCAUGUCAUAGAUGGUAUGCUAAAAGGUUUGCGAGCCACACAUCAGCUUUCUAGCCACACAUCGGUUUUCUAGCCACUUACCAAUCAGAACCAAACGUGAAGCUAGCAUUUAGGUAGCACGUUAGCUAAAUAAUGUAGGCCUUGGCUAACCUUGACGUCUGCUGUAUUUAGUUAACGUUAGGCAGCUAUACAUUUUUAUCCGGUAGAUUUGUCCUUGAGUUGAAGCACAAGUCUACAAACAUAAGGAAGUUAUCGAAAUAUAACAUUUUCUCUGUAGCCUUAUCUCACUAGAACAAGUUUAGCAUUCAGAUAACAACCCGAGGUUGGAUUUGGCUAUUAGCUAGCUGGUUUAGCCAAUUAAACAGGGUCGUUUACUCAAUGGCUAACUAUUGGUAAUUGUAACAUGUCAUGUUCUUUUCUUUGUCAUUUACAUUGUAAACGAGUAACGGCUAGCUAACAAAGUUAACCAGCUAUGUUAACGUUACUAUUAAAGAUUGGUUGUGUCUGUACUAGUACCUAGCUAUUAUUCUGCCAGCUGUGUAGCUAGCUAGUUACCGACUUUGCUAGCCCUAGCUCACCCCCUUUCUCCAUUUGAGUUUGUAAUGAGAUUUGUCCCAGUUUGUCAAAUAACAUCUAGUUAAUACUGUAUCGACCUCAAGUGGACCUUCACUACCUUGAUAUUGUCCCAUGGACUCGGAGUCGAUCAGAGACCGGCUAGCUGACUUUAGUUGCUGUAGGCUACUGCAUGUUUCAGACAAAGACAAAGUUCACAUCUCUUGCAACGCAUUUUCCAUUAAAACAAUGUUCAUCUCAAAGCUGGAGGCAAAUCACACUGUCUUUGGCUGUAACCACUUGAAAAGGUAUCCAUUGCUUGCAAAGCAAAAGAGGACCAGCCAUGAUUGAGCUGCUGUGUUCCAACUAAUCAAUCAUUUGAGUGAGGCUACCUACUUUUUCCAAUGAGCUUAUGUCCUGAUAAUGUGAAAGCUUCUUUUUUCCAGUUAGGCAAAGAUCUACCCUAAACAAAAAUAAACGCAACAAUUUAAAAUAUAUAUAUUAAUUGAAUCUGUUUUGAUGCCAAACUGCAUUCAGGUCAAGACCCUGACGAGGGCGACGAGCAUGCAGAUGAGCUUCCCUAAGACGUUUUCUGACAGUUUGUGCAGAAAUAAUUGUUGUGCAAACCCAGUUUCAUCAGCUGUCCGGGUGGCUGGUCUCAGACGAUACCGCAGGUGGAGGUCCUGGGCUGGCGUGGUUACACGUUGUCUGCGGUUGUGAGGCAGGAUGGACGUACUGCCAAAUUCUCUAAAACAUUAGUGGCGGUUUAUUGUAGAGAAAUUAACAUUGAAUUAUCUGGCAACAGCUCUGGUGGACAUUCCUGCAGUCAGAAUACCAAUUGCACACUCCCUCAACUUGAGACAUGUGUGGCAUUGUAUUGUGGGACACAGAAGCUCAUUGCAUAAGGUGCACCUGUGUAAUUAUCAUACUGUUUAAUCAGCUUCUUGAUAUGCCACACCUGUCAGGUGGUUCAUGGCAUUGGAGAAAUGCUCGCUAACAGGGAUAUAAAUAAAUUGUGCACAAUUUGUGAGAAAGAAAUAUUUUGUGCGUAUGGAAAAUUUCAGGGAUCUUUUAUUUCAGGUUAUGAAACAUGGGACCACAACUUUAAAUGUUGUGUGUUAUGUUUUUGUUAAUUGUAUUGAGCAAGGAGUCAAUUAAAACAUUGUUCAAUAAGUCAUGUUAGAAUACCUGUAAAUGUAUUUGCUACUGCACAAAUGUCUAUCAUUCACAAUUGUCUGUAUAUUAUCCUUUAUCGUGGAACUCAAGCUUCAGUCUCUCUUGCAGUGAUGAGAAUGUAGCAUGUCUCAUCGUGUCUUCCAGAAACGCCACUACAUCAACAAUAUACGGUCGGAUAAGAGGUAUGAAGGGCCUGGUGUAUGAAACCUCAGUGCUGGAUGCAGAUGAGCAUUCCGGAGUGCCAGCAACUGUUGCCCAAGGCUCCAGGACGUGCUGAGCCCCUGCCCGAAGGUCUGUUCUGGCUGCUGGUGACAGGCCAGGUGCCCACAGAGGAACAGUUUGUCUAUGAAGACUCCAUGGAUCUUAUCGCUAAUCUGCCUUGCGUGGCGGCCAAUAUUUACCGCAACAUUUACCGCGAGGGAAGCAGCAUCGUACCUCACCAUUCACAGUGACCAUGAGGAUGGUAACGUGAGUGCCCACACCAGCCACUUGGUGUCUGACCCCUACCUCUCCUUCAGCGCAGCUAUGAACGGUCUGGCUGGACCCUUUCAUGGAUUGGCUAACCAGGAGGUGCUGGUGUGGCUGACAGCACUGCAGAAGGAGAAGUGUCUGACGAGGCCAUGAGAGACUACAUCUGGAACACCCUCAAGUCUGGAAGGGUGGUUCCAGGCUAUGGCCACGCUGUCCUGAGGAAGACAGACCCCAGGUACACCUGCCAGCAGGAGUUUGCCUUCAAGCACUUGCCCGACGACCCCAUGUUCAAGCUGGUACACACACUCUACAAGAUCGUGCCCAAUGUGCUGCUGGAGCAGGGCAAGGCCAAGAACCCCUGGCCCAACGUGGACGCCCACAGUGGAGUGCUUCUGCAGGUUUUUUAGGAGAGAUGAACUACUACACGGUGCUGUUCGGCGUGUCCCGAGCACUGGGGGUGCUGGCCCAUCUGAUUUGGAGCCGAGCCCUGGGCUUCCCCUGGAGCGCCCCAAGUCCAUGAGCACAAACGGACUCAUGACCCUGGUGGGAGCCAACAAUUCUGGGUAAAGAUGAAGUAUCAAAGGAAGAGGGGAGGAAGGCAAAGAAGAACAAAAGGGGGAGGUAGAGGGUAGGGGGAUGCAUAAGAUGCAGUACACUUAUGAAAAGAAGGGCCUUUGCUGGAUUUAGUCGGUUCAUGUCAGUGACACUAAUGUCGGGCGUACACCACACGACAUUCAAAUAUCGCUGAGCCUCUCACAUUAAUACCACUGUCUUUCCUGUAGUUUUCUGCCAACGUAGUGAUACUCACGACACUAAAUGAUGUCACACACUACAAGAUUCUUCAUUUGGUCUUAAGGAUUCUCGAUACCACGCUGUCUCGCAAAAAGAAUGUGAUGUGAUUGUGCAGCUAGAAUGAGCUGUGGGCCAAAGAGCCUCAAAACAUUUUGUUAGACAUUCACGCUUGCCAUAGAGUUGAAAUAUUUAACCAAUACAUUUUGAAUUAAAUAACAUUGUGAACUUCAGAGCUGUACUGAUUUGACACUAGUUUUGGUUAAAGGGAAGUACAAACGUAGGCUAGUAGUCAUCACUCCUGUUCGAGAGUCAGUACACACAUUCAUACAACGCCAUCAUCUCACUGGCUUCUCUGGUGAGCUGUUGGCUGUUGCUGAUCACAGUUCUCAAAAUGUUUCGUUGCACAUCGACUUGGGAAUUUUGUCUCCGAUCUCAAACUUGUCUGGGACAGGUAAAUCGGGCCAAAAUCAUGUAGUGUACUUAUAGUUUAUGGUAAUAUUUUUUUAUUUUGUGAGACUGAGCCAUGCUAGUCGAGUCUUAUAUAUUUAAGCUGACCUGGUUUUUUAAAGAACUCAAAAUAUCAUGUCGAUUUUUCAGUUGGAGAAUCUGGAGCACUUGCAUUGUCAGAUGGAAUUUUCCAAAAUAACGAAACAAAAGACAACACUCCAUGGCAGGCAAGGUCCUUCUUUAAUAUAACCACAGAAGAAUAUGUACAGUCUGCAAAUGACCAGGGUCUGUAGGUUCGUAAAAGUAUACUGCUGCCCCUUUCAUCAAUGAUUGAUGUCACACCACUAUAAAUCAAGGCCAAGUUCACUUAUUACACCAUUUUUUUGCCAGUGUUCGCCAAACCCAUUGCACUUCUGGUAAACGGAAUACUAUGCAGGUUGCUUUGUACAGUGCUUCACAAAUAGCUCUGUUCUAUUGGGAAGGGAGGUUGUUUUGAAAAGUGAUCAGGGUAAGAAGACAGCAUUGUUUUCCAUUUUUAUUUUAAAUCUACCUGAGAUGAAAGGGUUGACAUAAAAAAUAAA